CCCUUAGAUGUUCUGGGCCGCACGCGCGCUACACUGAUGCACUCAACGAGUCUCACCUUGACCGAAAGGUCCGGGAAAUCUUCGAACUUGCAUCGUGAUGGGGAUAGAUUAUUGCAACUAUUAAUCUUCAACGAGGAAUACCUAGUAGGCGUGUGUCAUCAGCGCGCGUCGAUUACGUCCCUGCCCUUUGUACACACCGCCCGUCGCACCUACCGAUUGAAUGGUCCGGUGAAAUCUCGGGACGGCGGCUUGGUCGCUUGCGUCCGACUGCUGAAACUUGAUUAAACCAUAUCAUUUAGAGGAAGGUGAAGUCGUAACA
rnacentral:rRNA from 1 species